AUUAGAUGGUGCCCACCCAGAUUAAGGGUGGGCCUGCCUUUUUCAACCCACUGACUCAAAUGGUAAUCUCUUUUGGCAAUACGUUCACAGACGCCCGGGAUCAAUACUUUGCAUCCUUCAAUCCAAUCAAGUUGACACUCAGCAUUAAUCAUCACACAAGCUAUGGGCAGAAUUGAGUAGUUUUGACGGAGACUGUAAGACCUGCAAAGUAUAAAGUAUUUACUAUUUGAACCUUCACAGAAAAAGUUUGCUGACCCCUGAUUUAGGUAGAUGUAUUCUAGCCGGGGCCUUUUCUGGCUGGCCCAAUACUCAUCAAGCAGGCUCCACAUCAGGAUUUGGAGUGAACCUUGGCAGAGAUUCAACUUGUUUCUGAGUUAAAGGAAUUGAAAGAAGCUGUGGGAAAGGUAUGAGAGACUCUGGA